rnacentral:rRNA from 1 species
GCGGAUGGCAAUAAGCCAACUAAGCCAUCUGAUCUCAGAAGCUAAGGAAGGUCAGAUAUGAAUCUUACUUGGAAGGGAGACCGACUAAGAAUACCAGAGGCUACUGGCU